rnacentral:rRNA from 1 species
GAUGAACGCUGGCGGCGUGCCUAAUACAUGCAAGUCGAGCGAAUGGAUUGGGAGCUUGCUCUUAUGAAGUUAGCGGCGGACGGGUGAGUAACACGUGGGUAACCUGCCCAUAAGACUGGGAUAACUCCGGGAAACCGGGGCUAAUACCGGAUAACAUUUUGAACCGCAUGGUUCGAAAUUGAAAGGCGGCUUCGGCUGUCACUUAUGGAUGGACCCGCGUCGCAUUAGCUAGUUGGUGAGGUAACGGCUCACCAAGGCAACGAUGCGUAGCCGACCUGAGAGGGUGAUCGGCCACACUGGGACUGAGACACGGCCCAGACUCCUACGGGAGGCAGCAGUAGGGAAUCUUCCGCAAUGGACGAGAGUCUGACGGAGCAACGCCGCGUGAGUGAUGAAGGCUUUCGGGUCGUAAAACUCUGUUGUUAGGGAAGAACAAGUGCUAGUUGAAUAAGCUGGCACCUUGACGGUACCUAACCAGAAAGCCACGGCUAACUACGUGCCAGCCGCCGCGGUAA